UACGUAGGGCGCGAGCGUGUCCGGAUUUAUUGGGCGUAAAGAGCUCGUAGGCGGCUUGUUGCGUCGACUGUGAAAACUCGGAGCUCAACUCCGAGCCUGCGUUCGAUACUGGACGGCUAGAGUCUGGUAGGGGGGAUCUGGAAUUCCUGGUGUAGCGGUGGAAUGCGCAGAUAUCAGGAGGAACACCGGUGGCGAAGGCGGGAUCUGGGCCAGUACUGACGCUGAGGAGCGAAAGCGUGGGGAGCAAACAGG
rnacentral:rRNA from 1 species